rnacentral:lncRNA from 1 species
CGGGCGUUGUAGCGCAGGUCGGAGGCGGAGUAGUGAUAGCCCGCCCCGGCGGGGCAGAUCUCGUGGAAACCCUCGGAGCCGUAUGGGGGGCAGCGCAGGCAGUCCCUCCCCCAGGCCUUCCCGACGCGGCUGCAGCAGCAGAUCUGCCUGGUGAUGUUGCGUAGGGUGGGCAGAGCGCAGCGCCCGUCCCGCAGCACCCGGAAACACGGAGCCUUCGCCUCCG